AUCAGAAUGCCGCGGUGAAUACGUUCCCGGGUCUUGUACACACCGCCCGCCACACCAUGGGAGUCAGUAACGCCCGAAGUCAGUGACCCAACCUGAUAGGAGGGAGCUGCCGAAGGCGGGACCGAUAACUGGGGUGAAGUCGUAACAAGGUAAC
rnacentral:rRNA from 1 species